rnacentral:rRNA from 1 species
GAUGAACGCUGGCGGCGUGCCUAAUACAUGCAAGUCGAGCGAACGGACGAGAAGCUUGCUUCUCUGAUGUUAGCGGCGGACGGGUGAGUAACACGUGGAUAACCUACCUAUAAGACUGGGAUAACUUCGGGAAACCGGAGCUAAUACCGGAUGAUAUUUUGAACCGCAUGAUUCAAAAGUGAAAGACGGUCUUGCUGUCACUUAUAGAUGGAUCCGCGCUGCAUUAGCUAGUUGGUAAGGUAACGGCUUACCAAGGCAACGAUGCAUAGCCGACCUGAGAGGGUGAUCGGCCACACUGGAACUGAGACACGGUCCAGACUCCUACGGGAGGCAGCAGUAGGGAAUCUUCCGCAAUGGGCGAAAGCCUGACGGAGCAACGCCGCGUGAGUGAUGAAGGUCUUCGGAUCGUAAAACUCUGCUAUUAGGGAAGAACAUAUGUGUAAGUAACUGUGCACAUCUUGACGGUACCUAAUCAGAAAGCCACGGCUAACUACGUG